GGAUGUGAGGGUGAUCUGGCUGUGACAUCUGUCACCCCAUUGAUCGCCAGGGUUGAUUCAGCUGAUCUGGCUGCCUAGGCUGACGUCUCCUUCCUCUCUCACUGCUCCAUGUGCUUCCCUCCCAAAGCUGCACUCAGUUGAAGAGGAUGGCCUUCCCCAAUAGGCUAUUUUGUUCCUCAUAAUA
rnacentral:snRNA from 1 species